rnacentral:rRNA from 1 species
GGGUCAGUAGGUUGGUCGUGCCACCGGUACGUACUGGUCUCACUGAUUCCUCCUUCCUGAAGAACCGUAAUGCCAUUAAUUUGGUGUUGCGGGGAAACAGGACUGUUACUUUGAAAAAAUUAGAGUGUUUAAAGCAAGCUAACGCUUGAAUACAUUAGCAUGGAAUAAUGGAAUAGGACGAUCGAUCCUAUUUUGUUGGUUUCUAGGAUUGACGUG